rnacentral:lncRNA from 1 species
GCAUUUGCCUGCACACUGCAAUACUUCCAGUUAUGACAAUAACGGACUAAACCUCUAAAACUCAACUACAACCUAAGUGUGUCCCUGAAAAGUCCACACGUGUGCCUUCCUCGGAGCCACGGGCUUCCUCUGACUGCAACAUUCACCUGCAGCAGCCUCGUGCCAUGCUCGCUCACCCCAUUGGGUCAGCAGGAGCUUGGAUAACGGACUUCCACAUGGUUUCCAGCCAUGGCGUAGAGCACGCACAUCAACACGGCCUCGGGUGGAUGCAUAAGCUACCCACAUCCGCAUGGCCUCUAGCAGCAGCACGGCCUAUGGACAUCACCGUGGCUUCAGGCGUUAGCACAGACUGUGGACAUCCUCACAACCUUAGGUGGUAACGGGGGCCUGUAGGGAUUAUCGUCUUGUGCACUGGGUAAAGAUUGUCUUUGUAUUAUUCAGAUGCUGGUUUCUAUGGGCGAAGGGUUGGGUACAGGCAGAACAUUGGUAUUGUUAUAGUUAUGAAGCAUCUUCACCUGUCUGUGUUCAAUAAACACUCUUCAUCACUU